rnacentral:miRNA from 1 species
AUUUAGCGAGCUGAGUGGGGAGGAGAGAGGGACAGAGAGCCUGCUUGCUUUAAAGGAACCAACCGGACAGGAGCCGCUUACAUUCGUGCAAGCGGCUCCUCUCCUCUCCCGCUUUGCUCCAAGCAGGCUCUCUGUCCCUCUCUCCUCCCCACUCAGCGGCUCUUCUC